rnacentral:rRNA from 1 species
UUAAGCUAAGAAGAGCGUAGGGAGAAUGCCUUGGCAUUAGGAGCCGACGAAGGACGUGAUAAGCUGCGAUAAGCUGCGGGGAUCAGCAAGUAUGAAUUGAUCCGCAGAUUUCCGAAUGGAGCAAUCCGUAUGUGUAUGCACAUACAUCAUAUACUGAAUCAAAUAGGUAUAUGAGGGGAACCGCCUGAACUGAAACAUCUAAGUAGGGCGAGGAAGAGAAAUCAACCGAGAUUCUGUGAGUAGUGGCGAGCGAAAGCGGAAGAGGCUAAACCAUAGGUAGCAAUACUUAUGGGGUUUCGGACAGCAUUUAGUAUUGAUAAUUUCUAGUUGAAACGUGUGGGAAAACGUACCGAAGAGUGUGAGAGUCACGUAAGCGAAAGAGAAAGUCAGCGAGCUGUAUCCAAAGUACCGCGGGACACGUGAAACCCCGUGGGAAGAUGGGGGGACCAUCCUCCAAGCCUAAAUACUACCUAAUGACCGAUAGCGAAUAGUACUGUGAAGGAACGGUGAAAAGAACCCCGGGAGGGGAGUGAAAAAGAACCUGAAACCCUAUGCUUACAAGCACCGAGAGCACGUCAAAGUGUGAUCGGGUACCUUUUGUAGAAUGGUCCGGCGAGUUAUUGUAUGCGGCAAGGUUAAGUGCUUAAGGCACGGAGCCGAAGCGAGAGCAAGUCUGAACAGGGCGAAAAAGUCGUAUGCAAUAGACCCGAAACCGAGUGACCUAUCCAUGUCCAGGCUGAAGUGGAGGUAAAACUCCAUGGAGGGCCGAACACACGUCCGUUGAAAAGGCCGGUGAUGAGGUGUGGAUAGCGGAGAAAUUCCAAUCGAACUCGGAUAUAGCUGGUUCUCUCCGAAAUAGCUUUAGGGCUAGCCUCGUGAAAGAUUACUGGAGGUAAAGCACUGAAUGGGCUAGGGGUCGAAAGAUUACUGAACCCUAUCAAACUAAGAAUGCCAGAUAAUUGAUUCACGGGAGUCAGACAAUGUGAGAUAAGUCUCAUUGUCAAAAGGGAAACAGCCCAGACCCACAGCUAAGGUCCCUAAACAUUGUUAAGUGGAAAAGGAUGUGGGGUUGCAUAAACAACCAGGAUGUUGGCUUAGAAGCAGCCACUCAUUAAAAGAGUGCGUAAUAGCUCACUGGUCGAGUGACCCUGCGCCGAAAAUUCAACGGGGCUAAACAAUGUACCGAAGCUUGGGAUUCUAGAUUUAUCUAGAGUGGUAGGAGAGCGUCGAAUAAGGGGUGAAGUCAGAGCGGAAGCGCUGGUGGACUUUAUUCGAGUGAGAAUGCCGGAAUGAGUAGCGAGAAUUAUGUGAGAAUCAUAAUGGCCGAAAAUCUAAGGUUUCCUGAGGAAGGUUCGUCCGCUCAGGGUAAGCCGGGGGCUAAGGCGAGGCGGAGACGCGUAGCCGAUGCACAUACGGUUGAAAUUCCGUAGCCACCGAAAGAUUUAAGUACAGGGACGCUUUAGAAGUGAUGUAGCCGGGCGAUGGUUGACCCGGUCGUAAGGGAUCGAAAAUGAGUAGAGAAGUCAUCAUGGAAAGAGACAAGAAAAGCUGUAUGAAUAUCUUAGGUGCCCGUACCGCAAACCGACACAGGUAGAUAGGAAGAAGAUUCUAAGGCCAACGGGAGAAGGGUUGUUAAGGAACUCGGCAAGUUGACCCCGUAACUUAGGGAUAAGGGGUGCUCAAGUGAUUGAGCCGCAGAGAAUAGGCCCAGGCGACUGUUUAGCAAAAACACAGGUCUCUGCUAAAUCGAAAGAUGACGUAUAGGGGCUGACACCUGCCCGGUGCCGGAAGGUUAAGAGGAGAUGUGAGAGCAUUGAAUUGAAGCCCCGGUAAACGGCGGCCGUAACUAUAACGGUCCUAAGGUAGCGAAAUUCCUUGUCAGGUAAG